UUAUUGAUAAAUCAGAAUGUCUUACUUGA
rnacentral:piRNA from 1 species